rnacentral:misc_RNA from 1 species
GGAAGUAAAAGUGAACAAGGUUUCCGUAGGUGAACCUGCGGAAGGAUCAUUAUUGUAUAACCGAGGUGCGAGGGCUGUCGCUGACCCGAAAGGUCGUGCACGCCCGAGUGCCCUCACACACAUCCAUCUCACCCCUAUGUGCACCACCGCGUGGGUCCCCCUUUGGCUUGUUCGGAGGGGGGCUUACGUUUUCACACAAACUUUGUAUGCAGUGUAGAAUGUAUUUUUUGUUUUUGCGAUCACGCAAUCAAUACAACUUUCAACAACGGAUCUCUUGGCUCUC